rnacentral:rRNA from 1 species
GGGACACGUGAUAUCCUGUCUGAAUAUGGGGGGACCAUCCUCCAAGGCUAAAUACUCCUGACUGACCGAUAGUGAACCAGUACCGUGAGGGAAAGGCGAAAAGAACCCCUGUGAGGGGAGUGAAAUAGAACCUGAAACCGUGUACGUACAAGCAGUAGGAGCACCUUCGUGGUGUGACUGCGUACCUUUUGUAUAAUGGGUCAGCGACUUAUAUUCAGUGGCAAGGUUAACCGUAUAGGGGAGCCGUAGCGAAAGCGAGUCUUAACUGGGCGCUCAGUCUCUGGAUAUAGACCCGAAACCGGGUGAUCUAGCCAUGGGCAGGUUGAAGGUUGAGUAACAUCAACUGGAGGACCGAACCGACUAAUGUUGAAAAAUUAGCGGAUGACUUGUGGCUAGGGGUGAAAGGCCAAUCAAACUCGGAGAUAGCUGGUUCUCCCCGAAAGCUAUUUAGGUAGCGCCUCGGACGAAUACUACUGGGGGUAGAGCACUGUUAAGGCUAGGGGGUCAUCCCGACUUACCAACCCUUUGCAAACUCCGAAUACCAGUAAGUACUAUCCGGGAGACACACGGCGGGUGCUAACGUCCGUCGUGGAGAGGGAAACAACCCAGACCGCCAGCUAAGGUCCCAAAGUAUUGCUAAGUGGGAAACGAUGUGGGAAGGCUCAGACAGCUAGGAUGUUGGCUUAGAAGCAGCCAUCAUUUAAAGAAAGCGUAAUAGCUCACUAGUCGAGUCGGCCUGCGCGGAAGAUGUAACGGGGCUAAGCAAUACACCGAAGCUGCGGCAAUGUCUUUUAGACAUUGGGUAGGGGAGCGUUCUGUAAGCCGUUGAAGGUGAAUCGUAAGGUUUGCUGGAGGUAUCAGAAGUGCGAAUGCUGACAUGAGUAACGACAAAGGGGGUGAAAAACCUCCUCGCCGGAAGACCAAGGGUUCCUGUCCAACGUUAAUCGGGGCAGGGUGAGUCGACCCCUAAGGUGAGGCCGAAAGGCGUAAUCGAUGGGAAACGGGUUAAUAUUCCCGUACUUCUGACUAUUGCGAUGGGGGGACGGAGAAGGCUAGGUGGGCCAGGCGACGGUUGUCCUGGUUCAAGUGCGUAGGCUUGAGAGUUAGGUAAAUCCGGCUCUCUCUAAGGCUGAGACACGACGUCGAGCUACUACGGUAGUGAAGUCAUUGAUGCCAUGCUUCCAGGAAAAGCCUCUAAGCUUCAGAUAGUCAGGAAUCGUACCCCAAACCGACACAGGUGGUCGGGUAGAGAAUACCAAGGCGCUUGAGAGAACUCGGGUGAAGGAACUAGGCAAAAUGGUACCGUAACUUCGGGAGAAGGUACGCUCUUGAUGGUGAAGUCCCUCGCGGAUGGAGCUGACGAGAGUCGCAGAUACCAGGUGGCUGCAACUGUUUAUUAAAAACACAGCACUGUGCAAAAUCGCAAGAUGACGUAUACGGUGUGACGCCUGCCCGGUGCCGGAAGGUUAAUUGAUGGGGUUAGCGCAAGCGAAGCUCUUGAUCGAAGCCCCGGUAAACGGCGGCCGUAACUAUAACGGUCCUAAGGUAGCGAAAUUCCUUGUCGGGUAAGUUCCGACCUGCACGAAUGGCGUAAUGAUGGCCACGCUGUCUCCACCCGAGACUCAGUGAAAUUGAAAUCGCUGUGAAGAUGCAGUGUACCCGCGGCUAGACGGAAAGACCCCGUGAACCUUUACUACAGCUUGGCACUGAACAUUGAACCUACAUGUGUAGGAUAGGUGGGAGGCUAUGAAGACGUGACGCCAGUUGCGUUGGAGCCGUCCUUGAAAUACCACCCUUGUAUGUUUGAUGUUCUAACUUAGACCCAUUAUCUGGGUUGAGGACAGUGCCUGGUGGGUAGUUUGACUGGGGCGGUCUCCUCCCAAAGAGUAACGGAGGAGCACGAAGGUGGGCUAAUCACGGUUGGACAUCGUGAGGUUAGUGCAAUGGCAUAAGCCCGCUUAACUGCGAGAAUGACGGUUCGAGCAGGUGCGAAAGCAGGUCAUAGUGAUCCGGUGGUUCUGUAUGGAAGGGCCAUCGCUCAACGGAUAAAAGGUACUCCGGGGAUAACAGGCUGAUACCGCCCAAGAGUUCAUAUCGACGGCGGUGUUUGGCACCUCGAUGUCGGCUCAUCACAUCCUGGGGCUGAAGUCGGUCCCAAGGGUAUGGCUGUUCGCCAUUUAAAGUGGUACGCGAGCUGGGUUUAGAACGUCGUGAGACAGUUCGGUCCCUAUCUGCCGUGGGCGUUGGAAGAUUGAAGGGGGCUGCUCCUAGUACGAGAGGACCGGAGUGGACGAACCUCUGGUGUUCGGGUUGUGUCGCCAGACGCAUUGCCCGGUAGCUAAGUUCGGAAUUGAUAAGCGCUGAAAGCAUCUAAGCGCGAAGCGAGCCCUGAGAUGAGUCUUCCCUGACAGUUUAACUGUCCUAAAGGGUUGUUCGAGACUAGAACGUUGAUAGGCAGGGUGUGUAAGCGUUGUGAGGCGUUGAGCUAACCUGUACUAAUUGCCCGUGAGGCUUAACCAU